rnacentral:ncRNA from 1 species
GAUAGAAUAAUGUAGGUAAGGGAAGUCGGCAAAUUAGAUCCGUAACUUCGGGAUAAGGAUUGGCUCUGAAGAUUGAGAUAGUCGGGCUUGAUUGGGAAACAAUAACAUGGUUUAUGUGCUCGUUCUGGGUAAAUAAAGUUUCUAUCAUUUAUGGUAGUUUCUUGUUCCCCGGAUAGUUUAGUUACGUAGCCAAUUGUGGAACUUUCUUGCUAAAAUUUUUAAGAAUACUAGUUGGGCUACCCAUUAGUUCUUUUAAUUAUAACAAUUAUCCAUUAACAAUCAAUUCAAAACUGGCACGGACUGGGGAAUCCGACUGUCUAUUAAAACAAGCAUGGUGAGGGGCCCAGCGGGGUGUGACCAAUGGGAAUUCUGCCCAGUGCCCUGAAGGUCAAAAG